GAUGAACGCUGGCGGCGUGCCUAAUACAUGCAAGUCGAGCGAACAGACGAGGGGCUUGCUCCUCUGACGUUAGCGGCGGACGGGUGAGUAACACGUGGAUAACCUACCUAUAAGACUGGGAUAACUUCGGGAAACCGGAGCUAAUACCGGAUAAUAUAUUGAACCGCAUGGUUCAAUAGUGAAAGACGGUUUUGCUGUCACUUAUAGAUGGAUCCGCGCCGCAUUAGCUAGUUGGUAAGGUAACGGCUUACCAAGGCAACAAUGCGUAGCCGACCUGAGAGGGUGAUCGGCCACACUGGAACUGAGACACGGUCCAGACCCCUACGGGAGGCAGCAGUAGGGAAUCUUCCGCAAUGGGCGAAAGCCUGACGGAGCAACGCCGCGUGAGUGAUGAAGGUCUUCGGAUCGUAAAACUCUGUUAUUAGGGAAGAACAAAUGUGUAAGUAACUAUGCACGUCUUGACGGUACCUAAUCAGAAAGCCACGGCUAACUACGUG
rnacentral:rRNA from 1 species